rnacentral:tRNA from 1 species
GCGGGUAUAGCUCAGUGGUAGAGCCCACGCUUAGCAUGCAUGAGGUGCUGGGUUCAAUCCCCAGUGCCUCCG